UGGGGAAUAUUGCACAAUGGAGGGAACUCUGAUGCAGCGACGCCGCGUGAACGAAGAAGGCGUUCGAGUCGUAAAGCUCUUUUAGAUGGGAAGAUAAUGACGGUACCAUAAGAAAAAGCCCCGGCUAACUACGUGCCAGCAGCCGCGGUAAUACGUAGGGGGCUAGCGUUGUCCGGAAUCACUGGGCGUAAAGGGUUCGCAGGCGGAAAUGCAAGUCAGGUGUAAAAGGCAGUAGCUCAACUACUGUAAGCAUUUGAAACUGCAUAUCUUGAGAAGAGUAGAGGUAAGUGGAAUUUUUAGUGUAGCGGUGAAAUGCGUAGAUAUUAAAAAGAAUACCGGUGGCGAAGGCGACUUACUGGGCUCAUUCUGACGCUGAGGAACGAAAGCGUGGGUAGCAAACAGG
rnacentral:rRNA from 1 species